rnacentral:rRNA from 1 species
CCUUGUACACACCGCCCGUCACACCAUGGGAGUUGGUUUCACCCGAAGGUGGUGCGCUAACCCGCAAGGGGGGCAGCCAACCACGGUGGGAUCAGCGACUGGGGUG